UACGUAGGCAGCGAGCGUUGUUCGGAAUUACUGGGCGUAAAGAGUGUGUAGGCGGUGCUCUAAGUUCGGUGUGAAAUCUCCCGGCUCAACUGGGAGGGUGCGGCGGAAACUGGAGUGCUCGAGUGUGGGAGAGGUAAGCGGAAUUCCUGGUGUAGCGGUGAAAUGCGUAGAUAUCAGGAGGAACACCUGUGGUGUAGACAGCUUACUGGACCACGACUGACGCUGAGGCACGAAAGCGUGGGUAGCAAACAGG
rnacentral:rRNA from 1 species